CCCAGCUCCCCCGCCCGCCCUGCACUCAUGCACGCUGUCUUCAGCUGUAUGUUAUCUCAAAUAAUUACCCUCGCUUCUGGCUGUCCCUGGCGACUUCUGCUGCUAAAAAAGCUACUCAUUGUCGGAGACUGAAGAGGGAUUUCCAGCCUGCUUCUUGUGGCCGGGCAACGGCUCUUAAUUAACCACUCAGGUAUUGUGGGAGCUCCCAGCCCGGCUCGCUUCCAUAUGGCGCGAACAUGUCCGCAGUGAUAAGCACGGGAGGAAAUACUGUAUCAAAAAGGAGCUCACACAACCGAAAGCUUGUGCAAAUUAUUUUUAAUGAUUCUUCUCUGAGAUACCAGCUGAGGCUAUAAAAAGGAGGCUGCUGUGUUUAUUUUGUCUACAGACUGCCCAAUGGGAUGAAGUUUCCAGUGUGAUGUCAUUGGAAACAUUGCUCCUCAGAGCAGUGAAAUUAGCCCGAAAGAAGAGGAACAUGGAGCCUCACUUUCCAAUCAGGUGAGCAUGAAAAUCAAAGGCCACAUUGGGAACAUCCUGGUCCCAUCAGGUCACAGGAGUGCUGCAGCUGUGACCAGGGGAGGAUUGAUGGCCUGAAUGCACUGCAGAGUCCCUGUCUCCUGGGGAAGUCACCUCCUAACUCUCUUGGCCAAGUUCACUCACAAUGUGGUUCCUGCCUUCCCUCCCCUCUCCUUUUUCUGCCAGCCCAGAACAAUAGUAUAUCCAACUACAAAAUGAACCAGAACACAAAAAGAAAAAUAAACCCUCGUCGGUCACAAGAAAAAAGGGAAAGAAAAUUUAUGACUAAACCCUAUUUUAAGAAAAGGAACAAAAGGCAGAAGGCCUUCCUCCAUUCCAUACUUUCAACUGCACAUCCCAGGUACCCUCUCUAAGGCUUGAGAUAGGACCACCAACAAAUCUGGUGUGUCAUAUAUGGUGACAAUGGCUCCCUGUUACCUGGUGCAUUCUUCCAAUUCAUUCUCUCUCUCUCUCUCUCUCUCUCUCUCUCUCUCUCUCUCUCUCUCUCUCUCUCUCUCUCUCUCUCUCUCUCCCUCCCUCCCUCCCUCCCUCCCUCCCCUGCACCCAGCUUCCUACUGAUAACAAAUCUUAGAGUAGAUUUGGAAUUGGCCCAACUUGAAGAUCAAUUCUUUCUUCCUUUCAUUUGGUGCCUGAGCAUCUCCCAGCUUGAGGGUGACCCAGGCUUGCUGCAAAUUUCUCCCAGGCUUGGCUCCCUAGCUCUUUUCCUUUUAAAGUGCAGCUCCAGGAGGAUGUCAUUGUGUACAUUAGCAAGGUGAAGCUUAGCACCCUCUGGACCACUGCUGGCACAGGAAGCAAGGAGCUGACCAGCCAAGGAUAAUAAAGGCCUCUGUACUUCCUAGGCUGCCUGCUCCCCGAUCCUUCUCAGCCCGGUUGUUAUCUUUAGGAAGUGCAAGGUGGAGGACGGGGAAAUCUUAUCUGGCUUCCAUCCCAGUUAGAGGAUGCAAAGCCCCUCCUGUACACCUUGGGAACAUUGUCACAGCGGGGUCAGAUCUCGCUCAAACGGACUCCAGUGACUGAAGGGGCCCGUGACCUACAUUGUCCUCCAUGUCCUCUGUGGCAUAACACAGACUCAGCUGAUUUCUUUCAAGGCCCAUGUUAUCGCAUUUGCAAGAGUGUGGAACCUUCACUCUCUCUUUCCAAUGUGUGCUUCCUCUUACACUUAUUCACUGAUGAACAUUUUAUUUUGAACACACACACACACACACACUCGUGCUUUCCUUUCAGAACAUUCUGGAAGCAACUUGCCCAAGUACACCCUGUCAGUCCAUUUCCCAGUUGAAGAAUUUCCGCAGGCUGGGAUCUGGGAAGCUGUGGACUGACCCAGAGUUGCCCUAUUAAAUGCAUUUGCGACUUUGAGCUGAAGAAUAUUUGCUGAAAGCUGGAUUACCACUUGGUAGACCACCAGCAGCUGUUGAAAAGCAGUGCAUAAAAGCUUGUUUAUGUCUUUAAUGGCCCACUUAAUUGAUGAAGCAAGUAUGUUCUUCAUAAUAAAAUGCCAAGAAAUAAUCUUAAUACCCCAAUGUAUGCCACCAGUGAAUUAAGAAACAUCUGCUGUAAUGUAAAAGAAUACUUUAUUUGGGGUCUUCAUUAAAAACAUGAUUCUAUGGAGUUCUGCUGAUUUAUAUUGUACACAACAAAUUAGAAUGUCUUGAAGUAAUUAUUCUUUACAAUUAAACCUACA
rnacentral:lncRNA from 1 species